GUGAGGAAUAUUGGUCAAUGGGCGGGAGCCUGAACCAGCCAAGUCGCGUGAAGGAAGAAGGAUCUAUGGUUCGUAAACUUCUUUUGCAGGGGAAUAAAGUGCAGGACGUGUCCUGUUUUGUAUGUACCCUGAGAAUAAGGAUCGGCUAACUCCGUGCCAGCAGCCGCGGUAAUACGGAGGAUCCGAGCGUUAUCCGGAUUUAUUGGGUUUAAAGGGUGCGUAGGUGGUUUGAUAAGUCAGCGGUGAAAGUUUGCAGCUUAACUGUAAAAAUGCCGUUGAAACUGUCGGACUUGAGUGUAAAUGAGGUAGGUGGAAUGCGUGGUGUAGCGGUGAAAUGCAUAGAUAUCACGCAGAACUCCGAUUGCGAAGGCAGCUUACUAAGCUACAACUGACACUGAAGCACGAAAGCGUGGGGAUCAAACAGGAUUAGAAACCCGAGUAGUCC
rnacentral:rRNA from 1 species